rnacentral:rRNA from 1 species
CGACCGCUAUUGGAGUUCGAUUAAGCCAUGCGAGUCGAGAGUCUUAGGGACUCGGCAUACUGCUCAGUAACACGUGGAUAACCUGCCCUGUACUGGAGAAUAACCUCGGGAAACUGAGAAUAAUACUCCAUAGACCACAAUGCCUGGAACGGUUUGUGGUUCAAAGCUCCGGCGGUACAGGAUGGGUCUGCGGCGUAUCAGGUUGUAGGGGGUGUAAAGGACCUCCUAGCCAUUGACGCGUACGGGUUGUGGGAGCAAUAGCCCGGAGAUGGAUUCUGAGACACGAAUCCAGACCCUACGGGGUGCAGCAGGCGCGAAAACUUCACACUGCGGGAAACCGUGAUGAGGGAACUCCAAGUAUUAGCACAAUGUGCUAUCUUUUCUUGACUUUUAAUAGGUCUUGGAAUAAGGGGCGGGAAAGACCGGUGCCAGCCGCCGCGGUAAUACCGGCGCCUCAAGUGGUCGUCGCUUUUAUUGGGCCUAAAACGUCCGUAGCCUGUUUGGUAAACCCGUGGGUAAAUCAACGAGCUUAACUCAUUGACUUCUGCGGAGACUGCCAGACUAGGGACCGGGAGAGGUGUAGGGUACUCAUGGGGUAGGGGUAAAAUCCUGUCAUCCCAUGAGGACCACCUGUUGCGAAGGCGCUACACUGGAACGGAUCCGACGGUCAGGGACGAAGCCUAGGGGCACGAACCGGAUUAGAUACCCGGGUAGUCCUAGGUGUAAACGCUGUGGACUUGGUGUUGGGGAUCCGACAGGGGUUCCCAGUGCCGGAGCGAAGGUGUUAAGUCCACUGCCUGGGGAGUACGGUCGCAAGGCUGAAACUUAAAGGAAUUGGCGGGGGAGCACUGCAACGGGAGGAGCGUGCGGUUUAAUUGGAUUCAACGCCGGA